UAGAAUUUAGCAUAAUAAAUGAGACACAAUGAAAAAAUUAAUAAAUUAAAAUAUUAAUUAUAAUGAUUAGAUGGAUACUAAAUUAGAAUCAGUAAUUUAUACAGUUAAACGUAUUUAUAUAGCUAUACCCAUUCCUGAUCAAUUGAUUAAUUAUUUCACUAUUACUCUUUCGUUCAACUACACUGUAGCACAUUUAUAUAACCUAUGUCCUAUAUUAAGUCCACUGUACUCUAUAUACGUAUGAUGUAGGUACUAUACUCGUAUUUAAGUAUUUUAUACAUCAGCCGGUCUUUAUGACGCGUUAGGUUAGACGCUUAUUUAUAAUUUUAUUUUUUGCAAUGUAGGCGUUGUGUGUUCCUAAAUUUAAACGCGAUGGACUUUGCUAGGCAAUAACAAUAAUUAUGUUUUUAUCUUGGAUUCGUAAUUGAUAAAUCAUUAAUCACGAAUUUGGUUAAUUUUAAAAUUAUUUUCUUCUCGUUUAUUUAGUGGUAGUGCCCGCAGUUGUACUUAUUUACUUCAUGACUUGUAUAAUUUAUUCUAUAAACACAAUUUGCACAGCCAGCACAGUGUUUUUAUCAACAAUUAUUCAACAUAUCAUAUUAUUACUAAUAUUUAUGUAAAAAAAAUUAUGAAAUAUGAUUGGAAAUACAAGAAGCUGACACACCAUUUCCGUUCAGAAUCAUUGGUUAUAUAUACUCAUAAACAAUGAUUUAUCAUUGAAUUUAUAAUUUACAUAGGUAUCCAUUACAGUGACGAUAAUCUAGUAUUACUUAUAAUUAAGUAUACGGGAAGUCUACUAUGUUUAGCAGGGUGACUUCCGCGGAUUUUUACUGUAAAUUGUUUGAUGAGGAAGGGACUCGAGGUACCUUUCAAAAUGUCAGUCCUGAGCUUAAAUGUUGAAGUUACACCACUGCUUAGCAACUUUGGUAAUCCAAAUAGACUUUAAGGCAAAAGUCACUUGUAAAAUGAAAGCAGUAUGCCUUUAGAGCACCUAAUAACGAAUGCAGUCAUGUAUGUAUUGUAUAUUUUGUUAUAAUACUUGUAGGUAAUAAUUAUUGUUAUAUUCCCCUUGAAUACAAAUUCACAAAACCCAGAUAAAAUGUAUAAAUUUAACUAUUAUUAUUAUCUUAAAUUUUUACUGCUAGUAAUAAUCGAUUAGAACGAUUUGUUAAAUCAUUAAAAUUAUUCAUAAAUUGGAUUCUAUUUGACUAUGUUUUUGUAUUCGAUAGUUCUAAUUUAUGAUCCAACCCGUCUCAUCAGAAAUGAAAGUUAAUCAAUAAAAAGUUAAAUACAUUUUUAUUUUAUUUUUCUACUGUUAUAAAAUUAUUAGAAUAUACGUAUAUAUUUAUAUCAAAAACUAAAUUACCAUUGUUAUGUCUUAAUAAUGACAUGUUUGUCCACUAUUGUACAAUAGAUAAUAUUUAGUAUAAAAGGAUCAAAAAUAUUUUAAAAAUUGAAAUAGGCUGUGGUGAGCCUAUGAGAUCGAACAUAUUAGUGCUAACAUAUUUAAAUGUUCGUAGGUAUAUCUAAAAAAAUAAAUUGAGCUAAUUUCAAAUUCGACUUAAUCUCUUCCUAUUACAGUCCUGUGGUUGGACCGAAUGCCCCAGUGGUGAGUAGUGAGUAGUAAUAGUACGUACUACAUAAACACUCUAUGUUGUGUUUCAAUUUUUCAGUUUCAACCAUCAUGACACGAUAAUAUUAUUAUUUAUUGUUUGCAUAAUAUUAUAUUAUGCACUUAUGCAUAUUAUUAUUGGCGUCGUAUUAAAAGGAACCGUUUUCUAAUUGUUUUAAAUAAGGUUCGUAUUCAUACGGUCAAAAACUAUGAUAAUAAUAUUCAGACACGCGCUCGUUUUAAGUGUCCGCAAGCGAGAUGAAUGCGGGCUUGUGCUCAGCAGCUGCAAUGUUUAUUAUAUUAAUAUUUUAUUUGUACCGUUUUGCUGGCGUUGUUCGAGUCUAGUGAGUCUACUAUAAAGACGAUAAUAAUAAUAAACAUUAUUAUUAUUAUAGUUUUGACGCAUGAACCAUGUACAUUAUAAUAAGUGACACGCACUCGCAUAACAAAACAAAAUAUGUGAUAUAAUAGAUGUUAGAUGUUAGAUUUGGUACUCAUAAUAGAUGCCUAUUUUAUCAAAUGUUCAUACUUCAUAUUAUAUGCAAACAAAAAACAAAUAAGCUAGAUAUUACGAGAUAAUAUUUAACGGCAUAUAAUACCAAUUUUUUUUAUGUUAUUCGCUAUUUAUAAAUUAUGUACGGGGCGAUUCACCAAUAAUAAUCACUCUUUGUUUUCUUAUAAUGUUUUUUUUUUUCAAAUUCUGGAAACAUCUGGAAUUUUAAGUGUACUUAUAAAUAUAUUAUAUAUUCAAAUAAAGAAAACACUUCAUAACUUUUUUCGAAAUUAAAAUAUCAACAAUAUAUCUUUCAA